CCAGUACAAUUGACUUCCAAUCAAUCAGCUUCGGUAUAACCCGAAAAAGAAUA
rnacentral:tRNA from 1 species